CCCACUUCGAUUUUCAGAGAAAAAAUGGAUUAUGUGCUCAACUCCAUGGAUUGUUUAGCAAUAUUUGGACAAUUUCGAUGGCUUCUGUUGUUGUAUGAUCGAAAUGUGUGUAAUGUUUGAUGUCAUAUACUCCCUCUUGAUUGACCUAGCUUCUUGCGCAGGAAUCGUUGAGGAGAUGGGUUGCCUUAAUCGACCUGUUAUGGCCAGCAAGGUCUCUCUCAGACAGCUUCAAUUUGAACUCUCUUACGAGCUCUGAAAACUAGAUCGUAAUAUCUCUCACCCAUAUUUCUAUUCAUUAUUUGUUCAUCCGUGCACUGCCAUUCCCCUACUUUUGACUCAUGGAGGAAUUAGCUGCGCUACAUGUUUCAUCAAAGAUACUUACUACUGCAUUUCUGGUUAUUUUUGCUCUUUUUUUUAUUGGAAUUUCCAUAACAUCGUAGUGGGAACUGGAAAUCUGGAUGAACUCAUAGGAUGGUAUCUUAGUUAUCAUGGGGACUACAAUAAAGUAUAAACAAUGAGUUGUACUUGUGGCCUUCAGAUGCAAAUUUGAAAUGGAUACCAUUUCUUGGUUUCACUUUCAUUAGUAUCGGAUCUGCAGUAGUGCUUUUUACUCCUAGCAUUUGUCCUACUAAAUGCUGGGGAAACCAAUUAUCAUUACAGUAAUGUUCUGCUUUGGUUUGAGUUGCGGAACCCAUACCAUACAUUCAUCUCUUGGUUUGUAAUUUGCACUAAAGUUAUGAACCUGAAGUAAGCUUCUUUUUGAAAACUGAAGAGGAAUAGUAGCAGCCCUACUUAAAAAUGUUUUGCUAAUGUAGUACACUGCCUCGUGCCAACUUCGUUGGAAUUUGUAAAUGUGUUAAAAGGUGAACUAUCAUUAUGUUUUAACCCCAAAUAUUGUUUAUUUAGUGUUCAUGGUUGCAAAUGGUGAAUCUGUUAAAAAAUGGAAUGGUUAUACACAUCAGCAUAUAGAUUAUAUCCUUUAUUUGGGCAUUAUCCAAUGAAUAAUUUAUAUUUUCCCUUUUCCUUUAUACUAACAUGUUUCUACACAUAAUAUUUGAUUUUCCUAUGAAUUUUAUUUGCAGUCGCUCUGUUUUAAAACUAGACUUAUAAUCCUAGGUGUUAGAUUGCUUGUGACUAGGAGUCGCUGAUACAAUGUAAUUAUAGGCUUGUGGAAAUGAUAUUGGGCCGAUCAGAUUUCACCAGCACGGCAAAGCGAGAUAUCCUUUUAUGGGCCAUGCAUUUCUUUGGUGUUGUGAUUUUUUUCCAUGUUAAUGGAUAUACAUGCAGUUCUCCUGCAUGGUCCCUGAAAAAACUCUUAAGAGUUAUCCGUGCUCCAGUUGCUUCUGAGAGUAGUACUUGGGCAGGACACACUGAGUUCCUUUCAUCUCUUAUGAUGUUGUAAUUAGUGAUGACUACAAUUUUAUAUUGGAAUUUAAAUGUUGGUAUUGCCUAUACUAACAGUUUUUCUAGCUGCUCAGAUACCUACCCAUUGAUGUUACAAUUUAGAUUUUUGUCCAAAUGUAGUGUUUCCAUUGUGUCUCCUAGAAGUGAGAAAAACAGAACAAAAGGAGGUCUCUUCCAGAAUGGUAGAAUAAAAGGUUUCUGGCUUAUGUAAGCACUUGAUUAUUUUCUAAAGCUUCAUUCGAAUUUUGCGGUGAAUGGUUAGUGCUGAGAACAGUUGCUUAGAACUUUUCCUGCCACAUAUAAUGUUUCAGGUAUGGUCAAAUAGUUCAUUUUGCCUAAAAUUGUGCCAUCACCACCGCUCACAAUAAGUUACCAUGUCAUUUUCCUGCUAAUGGUUCUCUUAACGAUUAGGCUUCGCCUAGCAAAUGCAGAGAUUGAAUGCUGUUAUUUUCCAGGAUCUACUGCUAUAUAAUUUGUAAGGCUUCUGCUAAUAUUUAAGGCCACUCUCACUGUUUGUUUCUUGCUGUGAGAGUUGCUUAUGCCGGCAAGCAAGAUAACUUUGCAUUGGAGUCCAGAUCAGCAAGCAGCUAAAGGUACAAAAGGGCAUAUAAAUGGUAUAUUUGUUUGUUGCUUCCCUCUGCUUGCCGACUCAUAUCACGAGGUGAACACAUGAUUUGCCAAGUUUUGUGCCUGAACCUAAGGUGAAGUACUAUACCCAUGAAUAAACUGCAGUACUACUAAACUAUACUAAUACGGAACCUACAUUUUCUCCUACAUUGCAUGCCUGGUGAUUAGAAGGAUCAGAAUAUCCCCCAUGUCCAUGUAUUUCGGUGUAUAUCUCCAUAAAGGAAACAACUUGAACUGAGGCAAGGAUCUUCCUGAUGCCUUUCCUGAGCCUGUUAGCCCAAAGCAUAUGUCCCCCUCAUUAUUUUUCUCCUCAUAAGUUGGUUACAGGUCUGCCAAAAUUUGGUUUGGUCAUGCUGUUGGCUAUAUAGGUUGUCUUGUGUGAUGUGCUCAUCAAUGAAGCUUUGGAUAUGAACAAAUCUUCAAUUAACUCUGCUCAGACGCUGUAACAAUCCAACAAGUAAUGCUACUUUUUUGUCCUUUGAACUCUGAAUUACUACUCACUGUAUGCUGGUUUCAGGAAGUUUAGUGGUUAUUAUUAUGUGGUUUACCCAUCAAAAUUCUGUAGUCAGGUUUAACUGAUGUUCAAGCACCCGUAUGAGUCUGAUAGUUCCUAUUCUCCCUACUCUCUCUUUCUUAUAACAAAGUUCUGCUAUGUUGCCUUUUAUUAUUUCCAUCAAAAGGUAGAAUUGCUCCUAAAUUUGAUGCACCAGGACACCGUCGGCCCCCUCUCAUGUCAGCUGGAGGAGCUGAAAGCCAGCCACCCAGUCCCCGGCUCCUUUGUCGCACCCGUUCCUCACUGAUGCGGGCAGCUCCUUCCCCUUUCGUGACUUCCAUUUCAACUGCUGCCAAGGUGAGAACAGAUAAAAUUUGCAAUUGUUGAUGUAGAGAUGUUUCUUUAUAAUUGCUUAAGGAUAUGUUCGUCUGAAAAGAAUACAUAGAGUCAUACAUGUGUGUGCACAAACGAUUUAGAUUUGUUUAUGUCUGAAUUCGGAAAACAAUGGACUGUGAUGUGCUAGGAGAGCUAAAGGCUAGAAAGAGUAAAUAAUGUUUUUCCUGUGAUAUUAAAGGAAUUUUGCAUCAGGCGCCUGUUAGGAAAACAUUAGUGAAAACAAGUCACUAGCUACAAGAAUGGUAUAAAGAUGAUUUGCAUGUUGUAAUUGCAUAGUCGUCUAGAAAAAAAUAGUCCCAUAUUCCAUUUGAAGUGUUACGCAUGUAUGAAAGGUACAUAAUUUGAGUUGUUUUAGUUGCGAGUCGUGUCGGGGAUGAUUAUUUUAGAACUUUACACUGCAAAAUACUCAACUAAGUUGAUCUUUUUAGCUAAAUUUGACCAACAAUAACCAUUUUUGUACUUUUAAAAGGUACACAAAUGUUAUCUAUAGUUAAAUGCAUUUUUAUAACUUGGUGGUCAAAGUUAGUAAGGUGACGAGAAUAAUUACAUUAGCAGCAUUAUGAAAUAACAUAGUUGAUUAAAAAAAUGUUGCAAUUAUUCAAUUUACAACACAAAAGAAAGAAUCAUCCAGAUUUUGAUAUUAGGGGAACUACUCUGGGAGAGCCCAAUCGUAAGCCAUAAAGCAAUACUCAAAAUCCCAAUAGAGUUAUUAGCUAUAUUCUUGCAACAAAUCGUUUUGUUAUUCAAAGUCUGCAUUCUUUUUUCAGAUAGUGCAACUAUCUUAAUGUGAAAAAAUGUACUAUGCUGCCUCCUUUGCAUUCCAUGUUCUUGGAUAAAGAAUAAAUACAAAAUGUCUUCUUCUCCGUGCAAAAUGUGAAUUUAUUUGACAUGAAUUACCUGAGAAAUAAAAAAGAGAAGCCCGCCAACAUAAAUGUUGAACAAUUUCAUCCAUCACUCUAGGGAUUUUCUUACCUUAUUAAAAAUACCCUUAUGGAACUGAAGCGUAGUUGUUCAACUGCUGGCCAUAUCCUCCUUUCAGUGACAUUAUCUCUAGCCUUUUGAGGUUUUACUUCUAGAUUAGCUACGUCUGUCAGUUACAGUUUUUUCUGUACAUCUUCCUGAUGAAAGGUUCUAGCCAAACGUCUUCCGGUGCCAAGACCAGACAACAAGGUUGUUGCUAUGCUAAAGUCAGGACUGACUGCAUCAAUUUCUGUUAAAAAGGUUAUCUUGAUACACAACUGUUAUUGAGUUUGUAUUGAAUUAUGCUCUGGAUAUUUUUUUCUGUCAGAUUCAGGAUUGGAAGUACAUAUCUCUUAUAGUUUGACUUGGAAGAGGACCCUUGCUGGUUUAGCCAUAUUGAGUUGUGAAUGUUUGGAUCAUAAUAUAAGUUAAAUAUUCUGUUACUAUAAAUUAGGUAGAACAACGAUAUUUAUUAUGUAAAAUGUGAUUUAGGCAUCAAGCUGGUGAAUUUUCACGGACCCAUUGCAGGUUAAAGGAAGAUAUUAUCCUACAGUUCAUGGAACCAACACAUUGUACACCGGUCUCACUGGGUUGAUUACUCGGUCGACUAUUUCGCUCGCAAGAUGCAUGCAACAAACUGCACAAUAUAAUUUUCAGGUCCAUGAUCAAGAUACAUCCAACUCUAGCUAAUUAGAGCUGGUGGUUCCGCUUAUGGCCAAGUCCAGACCCCAGCCAACCAAAAAAGACAACAUAUAUUCAACGGUAAAAUAGUACGCUGCAAAACCUAAACACUAUUAGAAGAGGACGGCGCCGCAAA